CACGUAGGGGGCGAGCGUUGUCCGGAUUUAUUGGGCGUAAAGAGCUCGUAGGCGGUUUCGUAAGUCGGAUGUGAAAACUCCAGGCUCAACUUGGAGACGCCAUUCGAUACUGCGAUGACUUGAGUCCGGUAGGGGAGUGUGGAAUUCCUGGUGUAGCGGUGAAAUGCGCAGAUAUCAGAGGAACACCGGCGGCGAAGGCGGCACUCUGGGCCGGUACUGACGCUGAGGAGCGAAAGCGUGGGUAGCAAACAGG
rnacentral:rRNA from 1 species